CGGCGGACGGGUGAGUAACACGUGGGUAACCUACCUAUAAGACUGGGACAACUUCGGGAAACCGGAGCUAAUACCGGAUAAGAUAUCGAACCGCAUGGUUCGAUAGUGAAAGAUGGUUUUGCUAUCACUUAUAGAUGGACCCGCGCCGUAUUAGCUAGUUGGUGAGGUAACGGCUCACCAAGGCAACGAUACGUAGCCGACCUGAGAGGGUGAUCGGCCACACUGGAACUGAGACACGGUCCAGACUCCUACGGGAGGCAGCAGUC
rnacentral:rRNA from 1 species